ACGUACUUUUGCCUCCGUCUUGGUGGUGAUAAAUCAGCAGAAGGCCUGGCUUUGGGUUCUGGUGAAGGGGUAUCAUUUCGAGUUUUACGUCUCCUUGGUGGUGAGAUAUCCGUAUCUCUACUUCGCAAGGACUUCAUAUCAGAUUCAGGUGUAUCAUUCCGAGCCCUUUGUCUACGUGGUGGUGAAAUAUCAGCAUCUCUAGUGCUCAAAGGCUUCACUUCAGGUUCAGGUGUAUCAUUCCGAACCCUCCGCUUACGUGGUGGUGACAAAUCAGCAUCUUUUGCACUUGAAGGCUUCAACUGUGGUUCAGGUGAAGGUGUAAGAAUCCUAGUCCUCUGUGUAUCAUUCCUGGCACUACGUUUGCGGGGUGGCGACAG
rnacentral:lncRNA from 1 species